GUGAGGAAUAUUGCGCAAUGGAGGCAACUCUGACGCAGCCAUGCCGCGUGCAGGAAGAAGGCGCUACGCGUUGUAAACUGCUUUUAACCGGGAAGAAACCCUAGGACGUGUCCUGGGUUGACGGUACCGGAGGAAUAAGCACCGGCUAACUUCGUGCCAGCAGCCGCGGUAAUACGAAGGGUGCAAGCGUUAUCCGGAUUCAUUGGGUUUAAAGGGUGCGUAGGCGGAGCGUUAAGUCAGUGGUGAAAUCCUGCAGCUUAACUGUAGACUUGCCAUGGAUACUGGCGCUCUUGAGUGCGCUUGAAGUGGGCGGAAUGUGCCGUGUAGCGGUGAAAUGCUUAGAUAUGGCACAGAACACCAAUUGCGAAGGCAGCUCACUAAGGCGAUACUGACGCUGAGGCACGAAAGCGUGGGGAUCGAACAGGAUUAGAUACCCUGGUAGUCC
rnacentral:rRNA from 1 species